GGAUGUGAAGGCAAUCUGGUUGCAACAUCUGUCACUCCACUGAUGGCCGAUGUUGAUUCGGCUGAUCUGCCUGGCUAGGCAGGUGUCUCCGUCCUCCCUCACCAGUCUAUGUGCGUUGGUCCUGAAGCUGGAUGCUCUUCCUCUUCUACCACUGCCUUCCCAGAACGGAGAUAGACCAUUCUUUGGUGCAGGGUAUAUUAGUGCUCCCCUGCUAGAACCUCCAAACAAACUCUAAGGUUCUCCCCUGUUAGAACCUCCAAACAAACCUCAUGAAACUGCUCAGAUAAUGCUGUUGUCA
rnacentral:snRNA from 1 species